CUGGCCUCCUGCUGGGGGCCUGAGUCCUGCCUGCUGGAGAAUUUCCCCGAUCCCCCGGGACCACGCUCAGGAGGAGAGGGAUGGGGGCUGCCAGAGCCAAGCCCUCUCUUGGUCCCAGGGCAGGGACAGGGACUUGGAGGUACCCACUCCAGGGAGAAAAGGGGCUGCCUUCUCAUGGGUCCCUGGUGACCAGGGGCAUGGUGGCAGCUUGCUGGUGGAGGGACAUGGACCAGGUUGGGGAGGGCCAGGGCUGGGGCCCAGGCUGGGCAGUAUCUGGAAUCAUCUGGCCCCUGGAGCCUCAGCAAAGCCUUGGGGUCCCUGCUCCUCUCAAUCCCCAGAGCCGAGUCCAUGUGAGGCGGGUUCAGAAGGGCCAGGGUGAGAGAACACGGCCCUGAGCCUGGUCAUUGGAGCGGGGUCACGGGUACCUGGUU